UUUCCAGUACAACCAGCCCUCAUUAAAAUCAACCAUGGUUAGUGUACCAUAGUUAAUUUAUGGUUACCAUGGUGAGUUUUUGGUUUUAUUAGUAGCCUACCAUGGUUAAUGUCGUAAUUAAGGGAGCAAGCGCUGUCAUGUUUUUUCGGGGUAUUUAUCGGUUAAAAAUGAAUCGUCCAUUUUAAAUCUGUAGGCUAGUUUAAAUGUAUCCGAACUGAAUGAAUCUAAACGAGUCUUUUGAACAGAAUCGCAAAAUUUGAGUGAGAUUAAUACAAUAAAAUCCACACUAUUACUGUAUCUCGGGGUUUGUUGUAGUUUGGUAAUAGAGGUAAUGAUCGGUAAUAUAUCACGCACUGACAUUCCAGGCCUCGCAUUUAGAGCUGAUUUACACGAGAGUCGCAAUUCUUGACGCCCGUAAAUCGACUCUUUUUGGAAUCGACUCACUGUCCUUACCCCUGCACGCGCGGAACUCUUGUUCUGCAGUGAAGGGCUUCUGGCUGACAGGGUCCGGUAAUUUCUGAGAGAUUUACAUCAGACGAAGCAUGACGUUGUUUUGAGCCGUUUAUUCCCGCUUUAGGUGCUUCGCUGAUUUACAUCAGACGAAGCCCUGUGUUGUUUCGAGCCGUUUGUUCCCGCUUCAGAGGCCUUCAGUCAGCGCGUGGUCACUGCGUCCAGAGAGAUUUAUAUCAGAAGAAAAGUCUCCAAACACUGCAGCUGACUUCUGAUUCACCAGAGACAGCCUUGGAGGAGAAAUGGAUCCUCUGUUCCCAGAUCCAACCAUUCAUCUGAAGGACUGUGAAAAUAUGAACCAUUUGAACCAAGGGCGACAGUUUCCACAUGAUGAAUAGAAAGGACAUGGCAGAGGAUGAUGGAGUAUUGAUAUUUCACUGAAAUAAAAUAUCAUUUAAUUACAUUUAGUCAUCUAGCCAGAAUUAUAGCUGAUUAAAUAAAAAUAAAUAGUGUUCCAUGAGUCCCUUGUCCUGAACAGUUUAAAUGGCUGCUUUUCUUCAGAAGAAUCCUCCAGAUCCUUCACUUUCUCAGGUUUUCCAGCAUCUUUUGCAUAUUUGAACCCUUUCCAGCAAUGAAUGUAUGAUAUCAGAUUUUUUUUUUUUUUUUUUUUUUACACUGAGGACAAUUGAGGGACUUUUUCAAAAAGUUAAACACAUUUAUUGAUUUUCAAGAAAGCAACACAAUUUAUAAAGAGACAGGAUGUGAACUA